AGCGUACACGGUGGAUGCCUUGGCAGUCAGAGGCGAUGAAAGACGUAGUAACUUGCGAUAAGCCCAGAUUAGGUAGUAACAACCAUUUGAGUCUGGGAUUUCUGAAUGGGGAAACCCACUUACAUAAGUAAGUAUCAUUAACUGAAUACAUAGGUUAAUGAGGCGAACCGGGGGAACUGAAACAUCUAAGUACCCCGAGGAAAAGAAAUCAACCGAGAUUCCGAAAGUAGCGGCGAGCGAAAUUGGACUAGCCCUUAAGCUUUACACGCGUUAGACGAACGGUCUGGAAAGUCCGACGAUACAGGGUGAUAGUCCCGUAGUUGACGACGUGUGUUCAGUGAAAUCGAGUAGGGCGGGACACGUGAUAUCCUGUCUGAAUAUGGGGGGACCAUCCUCCAAGGCUAAAUACUACUGACUGACCGAUAGUGAACCAGUACCGUGAGGGAAAGGCGAAAAGAACCCCUGUGAGGGGAGUGAAAUAGAACCUGAAACCGUGUACGUACAAGCAGUAGGAGCAGGCUUUGUCCUGUGACUGCGUACCUUUUGUAUAAUGGGUCAGCGACUUAUAUUCAGUGGCAAGGUUAACCAUCUAGGGGAGCCGUAGGGAAACCGAGUCUUAACUGGGCGUUCAGUCUCUGGAUAUAGACCCGAAACCAGGUGAUCUAGCCAUGGGCAGGUUGAAGGUUGAGUAACAUCAACUGGAGGACCGAACCGACUAAUGUUGAAAAAUUAGCGGAUGACUUGUGGCUAGGGGUGAAAGGCCAAUCAAACCUGGAGAUAGCUGGUUCUCCCCGAAAGCUAUUUAGGUAGCGCCUCGGACGAAUACUACUGGGGGUAGAGCACUGUUAAGGCUAGGGGGUCAUCCCGACUUACCAACCCUUUGCAAACUCCGAAUACCAGUAAGUACUAUCCGGGAGACACACGGCGGGUGCUAACGUCCGUCGUGGAGAGGGAAACAACCCAGACCGCCAGCUAAGGUCCCAAAUUACUACUAAGUGGGAAACGAUGUGGGAAGGCUCAGACAGCCAGGAUGUUGGCUUAGAAGCAGCCAUCAUUUAAAGAAAGCGUAAUAGCUCACUGGUCGAGUCGGCCUGCGCGGAAGAUGUAACGGGGCUAAGUAGUAAACCGAAGCUGCGGCAAUAUACUUUUGUAUAUUGGGUAGGGGAGCGUUCUGUAAGCGGUUGAAGGUGUGUGGUAACGCAUGCUGGACGUAUCAGAAGUGCGAAUGCUGACAUGAGUAACGAUAAAGGGGGUGAAAAACCUCCUCGCCGGAAGACCAAGGGUUCCUGUCCAACGUUAAUCGGGGCAGGGUAAGUCGACCCCUAAGGCGAGGCCGAAAGGCGUAGUCGAUGGGAAACGGGUUAAUAUUCCCGUACUUCUUACAAUUGCGAUGGGGGGACGGAGAAGGCUAGGUGGGCCUGGCGACGGUUGUCCAGGUUCAAGUGCGUAGGCUUAAGAGUUAGGUAAAUCCGGCUCUUUCUAAGGCUGAGACACGACGUCGAGCACCUACGGGUGUGAAGUCAUUGAUGCCAUGCUUCCAGGAAAAGCCUCUAAGCUUCAGAUUGUAAGGAAUCGUACCCCAAACCGACACAGGUGGUCGGGUAGAGAAUACCAAGGCGCUUGAGAGAACUCGGGUGAAGGAACUAGGCAAAAUGGUACCGUAACUUCGGGAGAAGGUACGCUCUUGAUGGUGAAGUCCCUCGCGGAUGGAGCUGACGAGAGUCGCAGAUACCAGGUGGCUGCAACUGUUUAUUAAAAACACAGCACUGUGCAAAAUCGUAAGAUGACGUAUACGGUGUGACGCCUGCCCGGUGCCGGAAGGUUAAUUGAUGGGGUUAGACUUCGGUCGAAGCUCUUGAUCGAAGCCCCGGUAAACGGCGGCCGUAACUAUAACGGUCCUAAGGUAGCGAAAUUCCUUGUCGGGUAAGUUCCGACCUGCACGAAUGGCGUAAUGAUGGCCACGCUGUCUCCACCCGAGACUCAGUGAAAUUGAAAUCGCUGUGAAGAUGCAGUGUACCCGCGGCUAGACGGAAAGACCCCGUGAACCUUUACUACAGCUUGGCACUGAACAUUGACCCUACAUGUGUAGGAUAGGUGGGAGGCUUUGAAGCACGUACGCCAGUAUGUGUGGAGCCGUCCUUGAAAUACCACCCUUGUAGUGUUGAUGUUCUAACGUCGACCCCUAAUCGGGGUUGCGGACAGUGCCUGGUGGGUAGUUUGACUGGGGCGGUCUCCUCCCAAAGAGUAACGGAGGAGCACGAAGGUGGGCUAAUCACGGUUGGACAUCGUGAGGUUAGUGCAAUGGCAUAAGCCCGCUUGACUGCGAGAAUGACAAUUCGAGCAGGUGCGAAAGCAGGUCAUAGUGAUCCGGUGGUUCUGAAUGGAAGGGCCAUCGCUCAACGGAUAAAAGGUACUCCGGGGAUAACAGGCUGAUACCGCCCAAGAGUUCAUAUCGACGGCGGUGUUUGGCACCUCGAUGUCGGCUCAUCACAUCCUGGGGCUGAAGUCGGUCCCAAGGGUAUGGCUGUUCGCCAUUUAAAGUGGUACGCGAGCUGGGUUUAGAACGUCGUGAGACAGUUCGGUCCCUAUCUGCCGUGGGCGUUGGAAGAUUGAAGGGGGCUGCUCCUAGUACGAGAGGACCGGAGUGGACGAACCUCUGGUGUUCGGGUUGUGUCGCCAGACGCAUUGCCCGGUAGCUAAGUUCGGAAUCGAUAACCGCUGAAAGCAUCUAAGCGGGAAGCGAGCCCUGAGAUGAGUCUUCCCUGAUACUUUAAGUAUCCUAAAGGGUUGU
rnacentral:rRNA from 1 species